rnacentral:rRNA from 1 species
AGGGUGUAAACGCUGCAGACUUGGUGUUGGGAACCCUUCGGGGGUGCUCAGUGCCGGAGAGAAGUUGUUAAGUCUGCUACUUGGGGAGUACGUCCGCAAGGAUGAAACUUAAAGGAAUUGGGCGGGGGAGCACCGCAACGGGAGGAGCGUGCGGUUUAAUUGGAUUCAACGACCGAAAAACUCACCAGCAGCGACUGUUACAUGAAAGUCAGGUUGAUGACCUUACUAGAUUUCAGAGAGGAGGUGCAUGGCGUCAGUGACU